GAAUGUAAUGGAAAUACUGCAGAGAGGGUUCAUCCCCUACCCCCAUCCAUCUGCCUCUGACGCUGUGGGACAACAUAACACUGGGAACUUCUGAAGAUUUGAACAUCACUCUGAAAGGCUAAGAGUCAUCCUUCAGAGGUCUCUGCAGCCCCACCAACUCGAUUUGGCUUUCUGCACAGGAACAGCCUCCACUGGAGUGACUGGGAGAAGAUCCAGAAGCAGAAGAUCUUCUCUGGUUCUUCUCUGAUCCACAAGCACCCCUCGGCAAUGCUGUGGAGCUGAGAAGCCUCCCGCAGGAUUUCAGGAGCAAGUAUUCUUGCAGGGAAGAGAGGGAGGGAUAAUCUUACUAGCUAGGAUGUAGAUGUUCAAUACUGUGGAUUUCACACUGGGAAAACCUGCAUGGACUUUGAUGUGUGCUCUCUAUUUGGAGUGAAUUUAUCGCUUGAUAGAAGUUGUGAAAUGGUUUUACUUCUGACUGUGGAUGCUACUUAUACUUGCAGUUCCAGCAGGUUUGAAAGCAGACUAUUCUCCCUAUAGGCCAACAAAACAAUUCAGGGGGAUUCGGUGGAGUUUUUUCUCAGUUUUGAUUUGGCUGAAUCGCCGCGUGAAGCUUCAGCUUUCAUCUUCUGCUCACACUUGGCGAAGCAGCAGCAGAACUCCUUGCUCAGUAUGUGUGUCAGAGCUGGAAGGCUGAGAUGGACGUUCUCUUUUAUAAGACACGG